rnacentral:rRNA from 1 species
GACGAACGCUGGCGGCGUGCCUAAUACAUGCAAGUAGAACGCUGAAGAGAGGAGCUUGCUCUUCUUGGAUGAGUUGCGAACGGGUGAGUAACGCGUAGGUAACCUGCCUUGUAGCGGGGGAUAACUAUUGGAAACGAUAGCUAAUACCGCAUAACAAUGGAUGACACAUGUCAUUUAUUUGAAAGGGGCAAUUGCUCCACUACAAGAUGGACCUGCGUUGUAUUAGCUAGUAGGUGAGGUAAUGGCUCACCUAGGCGACGAUACAUAGCCGACCUGAGAGGGUGAUCGGCCACACUGGGACUGAGACACGGCCCAGACUCCUACGGGAGGCAGCAGUAGGGAAUCUUCGGCAAUGGGGGCAACCCUGACCGAGCAACGCCGCGUGAGUGAAGAAGGUUUUCGGAUCGUAAAGCUCUGUUGUAAGUCAAGAACGGGUGAGAGAGUGGAAAGUUCACACUGUGACGGUAGCUUACCAGAAAGGGACGGCUAACUACGUG